rnacentral:rRNA from 1 species
UACAGAGGGGGCAAGCGUUGUUCGGAAUUACUGGGCGUAAAGGGCGCGUAGGCGGCCCGCUAAGUCGAACGUGAAAUCCCCGAGCUCAACUCGGGAACUGCGUCCGAUACUGGCGGGCUUGAAUCCGGGAGAGGGAUGCGGAAUUCCAGGUGUAGCGGUGAAAUGCGUAGAUAUCUGGAGGAACACCGGUGGCGAAGGCGGCAUCCUGGACCGGCAUUGACGCUGAGGCGCGAAAGCUAGGGAAGCAAACGGG